AACUCAGGUAGAGUUCAGAAAUCAAUAUUUGGUUUUCAGUGGGUCUGCUCUGGCGGAUUAUUUCACUUAAAACAAGAUGUAAAAUAAUGAGCCAGUGGAACUAAUACUUACUAAUCAGUAUUAAAGUAUAAUUUACCUUAAAACAGCUCUGUUCAAGUGUAUUAAGAUAUUUGUACUAGAAAUUACACCAAAAAUACUUGGUAAGAUUUUGGGUUUUUGCAGUGCAUAAACUCAGGAGUAGCAUCCUGAGACUCUGUGGGGUUUAAUUAAAAGUAUUAGUGGUUUAAGGACCCACAGAGUCCAUGUCACAGCAAACCAAUGAGAGAUAAGCAUGUUAGAAAAGUUUAUGAAGGAAACAAGCUAAAGAAUGUAUCAUGAUUUUAAGACAAAAUGAAAACAAUUAUGGAUUGACAGAAGACAACAGGGAAAGUGAAAAGAAAUGCACACAAAUUCAUUCAGAGGCAUCUAAACUUUAAAUUGAGUCACUGAUUGAUGUGAGAAAACAUUCAGGAUUUGUUUAUGUAUACACAGACAUUCUAAUGGUUUUUGGUUUUAAUUGUGAUAAAGAACUACAAUGGCUGCAUGUUGGUACUGCUGCCUUGCAGCAAGAAGGUCCAGGAUUAAAAUUUUGGUUCGGGUUUGUUCUGCAAGGAGUUAGCACGCUCUCUCCUGAGACUGCAGCUUCCUCCCACAAACACAAAAACUGUUACGUUAAAUCAUCUCCUAAACUGGUAUGAAUGUGUGCAACUGUUUCUCUGAGCUUUUGCAGAAUGCUUCAUUUUAUUAACAAUGCAAAACACUGACAACUUCAGGUAAACACUGCAAAACCACAAAAUCUUACCAAGUAUUUUUGGUCUAGUUUAGUGCAGAAAUCUUUGUACACUUGAAAUAAGAAAACUAACUUACAAAUAACUUUUCAGCGAGAUAUAGGAGCUUGUUUUAAGUCAGUCGUUCUUUAAUAUUGAUGAAAAAGUUCUAGUUCCACUUAAACAAAACAUUUUUCCCAUGUUUUAAAUGACGUAAUCUGCCAGUGGUUCAAAACAUUUUUUUCAUUAAUAUUGCAGAAUUAUUGACUUAAAACAAGCUCCUUGCUAAGAAUUUACUUGUCUUAUUCUAAGUGCAUUAAGUAAGAUAUUUGCAAUAGAAACUAAACAAAGAAAACACUUGGUAAGAUUUUGUGUUUUUGCAGUGAAUAAGUUCUUACUUCAUUUUUAAAGAAGAACGCAUCUAAGAGAACAGACUAUAAAACAAUAAAUGAUCAAAAAUUCAUUACAGAGUGAUUUAUGGGGCAUUUCAAAAGCUUACUGAGUAGAAAAGGAUCGUUUACUUUAAAGGACAUGUGAUUAAAAACGCAGACUUUUGAUCCGAGGACCUCUGGGUCAUCAGCAUUGCAUGUUUGGAUAAUUGCAGGAAUAUCAUCUGCACAACGUCAGCUAAAUACAGAGUCACGGUGAAGACCUUUCCUCACAGAUCUGAUCAAAGAAGUAAAAUGAGGCCAGUUGUCGUGCAGAAAGAGGAGGCUAAACAACAAAAACUCAGCGCUAAAGAAGCGCAAAGGGCCUCCUGGAAAGUUGACUGGAAGGGAAAAAGUUGCACAUGCAACAGGGAUAAUGGCAGCGAUUGGAGCACAUGUGCAAAAACCAAAGUCAGAAUUAUGA